ACGAACGCUGGCGGCGUGCUUAACACAUGCAAGUCGAACGGAAAGGCCCUGCUUGCAGGGUACUCGAGUGGCGAACGGGUGAGUAACACGUGGGUGAUCUGCCCUGCACUUCGGGAUAAGCCUGGGAAACUGGGUCUAAUACCGGAUAUGACCUUCCAUGUAGUGUGGGGGGGGGAAAGAUUUAUCGGUGUGGGAUGAGCCCGCGGCCUAUCAGCUUGUUGGUGGGGUAAUGGCCUACCAAGGCGUCGACGGGUAGCCGGCCUGAGAGGGUGGACGGCCACAUUGGGACUGAGAUACGGCCCAGACUCCUACGGGAGGCAGCAGUGGGGAAUAUUGCACAAUGGGCGGAAGCCUUAUGCAGCGACGCCGCGUGGGGGAUGACGGCCUUCGGGUUGUAAACCUCUUUCGACAGGGACGAAGCUUCGGUGACGGUACCUGUAUAAGAAGCACCGGCUAACUACGUG
rnacentral:rRNA from 1 species